GCCGGGCAUGGUGGCUCACGCCUGUAAUCCCAGCACUUUGGGAGGCCGAGGCGGGUGGAUCACCUGAGGUCAGGAGUUUGAGACCAGCCUGGCCAACAUGGUGAAACCCCGUCUCUA
ensembl:misc_RNA Metazoa_SRP Metazoan signal recognition particle RNA